rnacentral:lncRNA from 1 species
ACUUGUGUUGGCAAGGCAUCUCCUUCGCCUCCGUCCCCAUUUCAAACUCCUCAAGACAGACUGUACAGCCCAAUACUUCCUGGAUGUUCACAGUUGGCAAUGCUGCCACAGAUUCCUUCUUAGCAGGCGGCGUCCCAGAACGAUUCAGGUCACUGUCCGCCAAACGCUGCAAGAGCAUAUCCAGGCCAGGACCAAGAAAGUAGUCUCCAAGUGAAACGCCAGUACUUGUGUUGCUUGAGUUCUCUUGGUUGUCACUAGGUCCAAAUGUUCCUUGCAGAAUAAUGGCCUCAUUGUUGGAGUUGAUCAGUAUCAAGCUCUCUGUCCUUUCUCCC